UUUCUUCUGGAGUGUUUUUUUCUCCUGUUCCCACGGCUGCAUAUUGUUCGUAUUGUCAGGAAUGGGACGCUGGAAGGAGCUCAUGAAAGGCAAAAUCAAAUUAGGACAGACUUUCCUUCCGUCUUUAACUGGCUCUGGCCACACUAUCCUUAUCUGCUGCAGCUGGUGACACCCAUGUCCUUUUUCUGUAUGAGUGGCAGAGAUGUUUCACUUCACAAAUGAGAAAUGACACAAUGAGCUCCUCCCAGCCUGUUCCACCCUGGGGCAGGGAAGAAGAAUCCCACUGCUGCUCUCAUUGCAUUGAGCAGUGAUACAGACACCGAUCGUCAGGAGCGUUACCACGCUCGAACGUGACACGUUCAUGCUCCCUUGCAUACGCAUGCAACACCAGAAACCCUUCAAUUAAAACUGCAGAUGCUUAUGCACACAGGGCAGAUUCCAGCAAACACACCUAACCUAUACUUCGGGUGGAAAUGUGCCAGAGUGGAGUCUGAUCCAUUUCCCUCCCGAACCUGUUUGGCCAUUUGAGGCUGCAGAGAGGAAUCCCCUUACUGCCCUGGUUUUGCUGAUGCGUCUGUAGCGAAGUCCUCACGCCUGCAGUGUCUGUGGACUGCACAGUCUGGUGCCCCGUGUUGCCUGAGGCUCCCGUUCCCCAGGUGUGCACAAACACUCCCAGCAUUGUGCUCAGCACAAAAAUCCACUUCCCACGGGUGUUCCGAGCAAUAGCUGAGCAGAAAAUAGAACAGGGAGGAUCUGAGCUCACCCAAGCAUCUGGGGAGGAGGAGGAAGAGGAGGGAGGAGUACCAGGUGUGUGCUCCAUCCUAAGAACAUGGACAACAACCCUGCACUAAUUCUCCCCAUGUGGAGUGCAGAUCUGCCAGCAUAGAGUACCCCCAAGGGUUCGAGCUGCAGUGGGCUGAGUUGUGAUUCUUCUCUCCAGUUAUCGCUGUGCUUGAAGCUGUUGACUUUCAGUUGCCUGUGAUGGGUGCUGCUCUCUAGAGACUACUGAAAACUGCUCCAGCUUCAGGAGCAGGAGAAAUGAAUGAAAAAAUGGCUCCAGGCCGAGGCAUGAAUAACUAUCACUCAUCUGUAGGAUUGUCUAAGCCUGAAACAUGGGAUAUAGGAUGUGCCAUUGCCUCUCAGUGGUGGGUACUGUAAGAGACCAGCAGUGCUGCCACAGGGUGCCUGGGGCUGAUGGGGUUGGGGGAGUGCUCAGAAAAGGUAAAACACAAAGAUUAAGUGCCAGAUGUACUCACACAAGAUAAUGGAAUCCUCCAUCCAGCACACAGCUGGCAAUAUGUCUGUCUUGGUUCAGUGGAGAGGAUGGUGGGCGCGGGUGCCAACAGCUGUAUCCAUGUGGGCACAUUGGAGAUGCCCUAAAGCUUGUGGGGCUCGUUACCAAUCAGAGCUAGGGAUGGGACAUGUAGGGCAAGAUGCUUCUGUAUGACUGGAGAGGAGCAGCGUCAUGCUCCGAAGGGCUUCCAGCAGAAAUUGUAUUGAUGGGUUUGAUAGCAGUUGUUCAGUUGCAGUUCCUGAAAUGAGACAUCAUUAUCUCCCAUUUCACGAAGUGCAUCAGACGUGGGAUGUAAAUACAUAGCCCAGUGUUGCAUACAAAACAACACAAGUUCUGUACAUCUGCUGAGUGUUUCCUACUGCUCAGUCUCUGGAGCUGCAGCAGAGCACGGGCCGCUUCUGUGGAUGCCAUUUCUGCUGUGGCCAUUUGUGUGUUAACAGCAUGCACCCCUCCGCAGCGUUUGACCUCACUUUAUCAGUGAUUCAUACUGCUCUGUUUAACUGAACUGUCCUUACUGUGUUUGCCACCGUCUCCGAUUUUUGCUGUGUCCUUCUCAGGCUGGCAGUGCCGCUGGAGAUCUCUUGCCCUUGCUCAAAGCAGGACCAACUUCAAACAGCCACUACGUCUGAGAUCACAUUUUAUCUCUGUUGAUUCCCAUCAGCCUUAGAAUCUUUGAAUAAACUUAGAAAUGUGCAUUUAUUUGUACUUAUCCUUUGUUUAGGUUGAGUUUGCAGGCGCUGGUGUUGGUCCUGGCUUUGUCAAGCAGUUAAAGACCUGGUAAAGAGUUCUGGUGGAUUCAGAUUUGUUUGUAGAAGAUGUUACUUGCAGUCUUUUUCUUCUCCUUAUUAAGAUAAACAGAUUGAGCCUCUUGAGUCAUUUGUAAUAAAUCACAUCAGUUGUGGAGGGCUGGGGUUGUCCCAGAGCUUGGUGUGGUGAAGCUCGACGUAAUUCAGAUGAUGAAGAUGUCACAUCCCCUAGGGGACCCAAUGCCAGUGUUUGGCCACACUAGUGGUGAAAAUAAACUUGGUCGUCUGAACAGCAGCCCUCCACUUAUCCCCCACCCCCCAGGCUGCUGUCAACCAUGGACUUGCUGAGAGCACGCUGUCUCAUCAUCUAGGUUAUUAAUAGAGACAUUAAACACCAUCGCCCCCUGAGGGAAACCACUAGUAAUUCGUUAUCACACAUUUAAAUACUGCUCAGGUUCCAGAUUGCUCAAAGAUGUACUUGGCCGUGUCGCUGAGGACACUGAAGCUAGGCAGUGUAAACAGGAGAAGAGAGAGUAUUUUUAAACAAAGUGUAAAAAUUCUUUCAGAGAAGGAGAUGCUUUCUGCAAAACAAAGGCUCGUGCACAAACUUGCAAUGGAACAAGGUGAGUUAAAUCUGAAUUAUUUUUAAUGUGCGGUCACAGAACCAAAAACUGGUGCAGAUUGGAAGGGGCUUCUGGGUCCAUCUGGUCCAACCUCACCUCGCCAACAGGGACACCCAGAGCUGCUUGCCCAGCACCGUGUCCAGACAGGUUUUCACUGUCUCCAAGGAGGAGACUCCACAACUUCUUUGUGCAACAUGUUCCAUUGCUAAAUCUCCCACACAGUAAGGACGUACUCCCUGAUGUUCAGGCAGAACCUCUGGUGUUCCAGUCUGCACCCACUGCCUCUUGUCCUGCCACUGGACACCACAGACAAGAGCCUGGCCCUAUGGAUAAGAACCAUGUUCUGUGGAUGGCUCUGUAUCCCCUUUUGGGGUAUCGUCAUACCAAAUCAGCUGUAGACCAGAUUUAUGAAAAUGUUCAAGCAGUGAAUAAGAUUUUCAAGGUCUGAUUCUGCCAGUUAAGUUCAGUUGCAGUUGAUUGGAGCUGGACUGUCUUGUAAAUCUUGUUCUGUUUUUGGUUGCUUAUUUGCAUGUGUCAGUGCCCUAUCCUCCCUUUUGAACGUUACAAUUCAGUACAUCUUUCAACAUGUUGCUUUUCAAAUAGCUUUGGGAAAGCAGGUCUUGCUCUACUGCAUGCUUUGAACACUGCUACUGUGCUGUUUGAUGUUGGGUUUUGCAGGUGGAGAUCUAUGGACUCCUAGUAAUUGGAUGGCUGUAGCAGCCCUUUGUUCUUGGAGAUUCCUCCACACUAAAACCUAUUAAAAGAGAAAUGUAAAGUAGGGUAGAAAUCAUGUAAAAAUUCCCUAUUGAUAGAGGCUUGUGAGGCUGAGAGGUUGAUCCAAGGAUGGCAUGCAAGCUUUGCUGCUUGGGACUCUUGACUGGUGGACAUUCUUGGGACAAAGCACUAGAAGGUCUCUCAUAAAAGGGUACAGGAUGUAUGGAACUGGGAUAGGCUUUCUUCCUCUGAAGUUUGCAGAUUUGUGACUGUAAAGUAUGCUGGAUGAAUCUCACCCAAGAGAGCCAUCCCAGGUUUGGAUGUUUAGAAACAUGCAGCUUCGUGCUGCCAGCCAUCGUGAAUCAGGAUUCCUCUUACAUCCAGAAAGGAAUCUUUACUUGGGAUUUAUCUCCCAUCACUUUUGCCAGCUAGGCUGGAGCUGCUUUAUUCCCUUCCCAUGGUGGGAGAUGGAGGGCACAUUAUCCGAAGUCUUCUGGAACGUGCUCUGAGAAUGAAAUGAAUGUCCUCUGAAUAUGCUGUUGUCUGCAGGACAUGACCAACUCGCAUCUAUAAACUUUGUAGUAGUGUGAGUUAAAGUCGAGAUAUCCCACCCUUUCUCUUAGAAGGACCAAGUAGAUUCAUUUUCUUAGUGCUUACCCACCUGUGAAGGUAUAGCAGUACUCUGUAUUCCUACAUUAACAGGCUGUGAUACCUUGCCAAAAGAUAACAAGAGGACUUUGAAGCAGUUCUCACAAUGUGUGCGUUUGGUUGUUGGGUUUGGGUUUGGGUAUUUUUUUGUGGUUGUUGUUUGGUUGGUUUUCUUUUGAGGGGACUUCUGAAAUCACCAAUUGAGUCGUAACUGCCAGGAGAAGUUGGGUCAGAUGGAAAAGGAGCUCAUGGGCUGAGCAGUUCUGGGCUGGUGGGACACACGUGGCAGCAGUUUGUCCAGAACAUGAAGGAAGCCCUCUGCUUGUGGAGCUUGGUGAGGAUGGGAACGUUCCCAUGCAGCUUCUUCAGAGCUCAGCGUCGAAGUACGGUUUGUGGGAUCUGUCGUGCCGCACAGAGCCCAUCACCAAUCUAGCUAGAGAUUUGAAGGGUCCUGCUGACCCCAGGGAAGCUUACUGCAGUACACGUAUACCUACGAUACAUCAUAGGAUGUAUUUAUCUUAGAAGCUGUCCUAUCCCCUUACUUUGAGAUCUUUCAACUAUUCCCCAUUUGAUGAGGGGUCAUGUAAGAUAACCACUCUGAGAGACAUCAAAUAAGGUACAAGACAUAGGAUGCUCCAAAAAAGGUUUGAGAAGAAGUGUUUCAGCACCCGAGGGGCGGACAGUUGUUGCCAUGAUCAACUGAGAUUGCUUUGAGGAGUCUCCCAAGCACUGAGAAUCCCAAUAUCUGUUUGGUGUUAGCAACUAUGGGCUGAGCCUCCCUUCAGAAGACCUAAGGGAACCAGGUGGAGUACAUUACAAAAUGCUUCUGCUGAGGAAACUGGAGUUGCAUGUGACAUUAAGUGCACCUGGGGGCCUCUCAUUGCUAAGCUGUCGAGUGUAGAUAUUCCCUGUGUAACAGCCAGUUACACAGAGGGCAGAGUUGCUGCCAUGGUUUAAAAUUUGGAAAGAGGAAUUCUAAGUAUAAAUCAAAGGAUAACUCCUGUCACAGCAGCUUGUUUGCUCAGCCUAUCAGUUCACUGGCAAUGAGCUCAGCCCUGGUCAUUGUCUCAGAGACUGCAGAGGAAGAUUGAGAGGCUUCAAAUCCUAUGGGAGCUGAGACCUCCAGUGACCCACAGCUGCUGCAGUAAAUCUUGCAGGGAAGAGUGGCUGCACAGACACUGUCUCUGCAGCUAUGGUCUUCAUGGGAGACCCUUUAAUUCCUGAUAUUUGAGAAGGUGUAUGGGGAAGGCAACACCUCAGAAGGUCCCUUUGAUCUAGAAGGGAUGUCUUUGGUGAUUCUUCUGCUGCGGGCUCUGUCAUUGCCUCACCAUUAAUUGCAUUUGUUCAGAGGCUAGAAUGUUUUCUCCAAAAUCUGGUUCUCCUCUGGGACUCCGUACAGCUUCUGGCAUCCACAGAGAUCAGUGACCCUUGGGAUCAUGUCUUAGCAUCCCUCUCAUGCUCCUUUCGAUCCAUGGGCUGUGACAGUGUAGCCUGAGGAUCUAAUUCCCGACAAAUUAUCCCCACCGAGCUCUCCACCCAGCAUUACCAGGCACAGACAGUGGCAGAUAAGCAGCCGUGGUCCAAAAUGCAGGAACCAGCUCCAGGAGACUGGUUUGGUGGAACAAUGAGUUGGUUUAACAGUGGUUCACCAACAGUAGCAUGCUCCUUCCCAUUUAUGUGUGCCCAUAACGCCUGUCCUUCCUCUUGGAGACUCCCAUCAACUCCAGGUCAACACACAGACACUGCUGAGUAUCCCUCACCCAAGCCCAUGUCCUGACAGCCGGACUGGAAGGCAGCUGCUGGGCCUGAGCUGCUUCCUGACCAACGCCUGGCACGGCGUUAACCAUUAACCCCCUGCUCCAAGGCACGCUGGGAACACUGUUGUUUUUUAGGGCACUGCGAAAUCGCUUUGUCCUUUCCUGCGACAUUCCGGUGACGUUUCUCGCUGGGAUCCUGCCUGGAGCUGAGCAGCCUUUCCUGUUUGCAGCCAAAGCAGUCGGCCGCUCAGCGGGGCCCGUGGCCCACGUGGCCUUUGCGGUCUGAGCUGCCCCUUAGAAGAAGGACUGCGGGGUGUGAGCUACUCACAGGAGGUGCUCGGGGUGCAUGGGUGAGUUACCUCUCUUCAAAGGAAACGUGACGCAGCAGUUGAGCACUCGGAAUCAGCCAAGGUCCCGUCUCAGAGGAACAAGAAAUAAACAUGGCAGAAUUUACAGGUUAUAAGGAGACCUCCAAUCGGCACCUACGGUUCAAACUGCAGAGUCUUAGCCGCCGCCUUGAUGAACUGGAGGAAGCAACGAAAAAUCUCCAGAAAGCAGAGGACGAGCUGCUUGAGCUCCAGGACAAAGUGAUCCAGGCAGAAGGCAGCAAUUCCAGCAUGCUGGCCGACAUCGAGGCCCUGCGGAAAAGGGUGCUAAAGAUCGAAGGCAAGGAUGAAGAAAUUAAGAAGGCUGAAGAGCUUUGCCGGUUAAUGAAAGAGAAACUUGAAGAGGAGGAGAGCCUCACCCGAGAGCUGAAGUCAGAAAUUGAGCACCUGCAGAGGAGAAUGGCAGAGCUGGAGAAACUGGAGGAGGCCUUUGGCCGAAGCAAGAACGACUGCACGCAGCUGUGUCUCAGCCUCAACGAGGAAAGGAAUUUGACCAAAAAGAUAUCUACAGAGUUAGAAAUACUUCGAGUGAAAGUGAAGGAACUUGAAGCGUCUGAAGACAGGCUGGAUAAAACCGAGCAGAGCUUGACAGGUGAGCUGGAAAAACUGAAGUCUUUAGCACUGAGCUUUAUCAGUGAAAGAAAACAUUUCAAUGAAAGAGAAAAGCAGAAUGAAAAAAUAAUCCAGGAGCUCACGCUGAAACUAGAACAAAACAAUAAACUGAAUAGGGCCGAUCAAACUAGAAACGCAUCCAACUUGCUAGAAAGGUCAUCAAAUAAUCUCCUGGACAGAAAUGAUUUGAGAAUUGAAGAUGACUUGACUUCUGCGUUGCCCUCUAAAGAAACCAGGCGGAAGGGAAGCGUGGAUUACCUAAAGCACGUAGAAAAUGAAACCAGGAAUAAAUCAGAAAACCAAAAGAAUAAAAAUCAGGAAGACAACAAAGUGAAAGAUCUCACCCAAGAAAUUGAGAGGCUUAAAACUCAGAUUAAACACUUUGAAUCCUUAGAAGAAGAGCUUAAAAAAAUGAGAGCCAAAAACAACGACCUGCAAGACAGUUAUUUGAGCGAACAGAAUAAAAACAAACUUCUCACCGGUCAGUUAGAGGAAAUAAAAAUGCAAAUAAAGAAACAGAAAGAUUUGGAAAACGGAGAGGUCGAAAAUGAAGAUGCGAGCUUCUCUAGCAGGGGGAAGCAUGACAGACCUAAGUACAGAGUUGUCGCAGCAGAUUUCACAGCUGCCAAGCACAAACCAAGGGAGGUUUCGCCCCAGCAGCGGCGGGAGAGGGUGAGAAACAGAGAUUUCUCCUUCAGUAACGACAGCUCCAGCCAUGGUGGUAAGCAGGCACCCAGCCCCAGCUUAAUGAGCAGGAGAGCAGGAAAAGCGUCGGGCGCAGCCGCCCUCGCAGAUGCUGCCGCAACAGAGACAAAAAGACCGGAAGAGAAAUGUUCGGUUUCCACUUUCUCGUCUGGUCAGAAGGAAGCCUCCGUCACGCAGAACGAGGGGAAGAGAUCGAAGGAGCAGCCCUCUGUCCUCAGUCGCUACCCCCCUGCUGCGCACGAGCAGAAAUCUUGGAAAACAGCUUCCAAACCCGUCAGCGACCUGAGAUCCAAGGCUGAAAAGCCGUCCCACGCAACCCGCGGCGGCUGCCAAACCGGCGCGGACGCACGGGAUGAAAAGCCGAGCAGGGGGGAAUCGGUGGCUUCGUUCGCUGAGAAGCUGAACGCAAAUCAGGGAGAGGUCGGCGACGCCGUGGGGGACGCGCAGCUCCCCAGGGGUCACUGCGCCUCUUCCAAUGGCGUGGCCACCGCGUACAGGUGCCACGUCUCGGCGGAGUCGGACUCGGAUGGCUCUAAGGCUGAAGCAGCGAAUGCCUCGGCGGCGUCGCACCGGCAGCCCCUGGAGGGGAGGGCUAAGAGAGCCGUCGUCCCCCAGGACAAGGAGUUCACAGAUGCGUCGCUUGAAAGCGUGAAAGCGUCGCCGCUGACAAAGCGUUCGCAUCGCUCGAGGAGUCAGGAAGACAUUCUGCAGAUCCUUAAAGAAGACGCGGAGCAGUCUGCAGCAGCAGGCCUGGAAAAUGCUGGCUUGAAAGCAGGCUCCAAAACCGUCCGGAGUAGUCAUGAAAAGCUGAAUUCGGAUGAAGAAGCAGGGAGAAGUAAAAAAACGAACACUCCGUCGGAUUUUGAGACAAGAAAGAAAGCCCAUUCCAAGCAGUUCUCUAAUUCCAGGGGAGUUUUUAGAGCGUCUCUCUUUGAAAACGACAAAAGUUCUGUGCACGACGAGGACCCCUCUAAGUGUGUGAAACCGUCAGACGCCGACACCGGAGGACUGAAAUCCAGAAGGUCAUUCAGCCCAAGGGAAGCUCUGAGAUCCAAAGCCAUCAUUAAACCUGCCAUUGUCGAGAAGGACAUGAAGGCCGUCAUGGGAGGGGCUGUGACUGAGACAGAGUCAGAAAAGCAGAAGUCUGUUUUCAAAGCGGUCCCAAACAAAAUGACGAGCAGUAUCACAAUCUUUCCUUCUGAGCCAAUGGUUCCAAGGCCCAGCGCGGACGCAGCAGGAAAGGAAAGGCACGUUGCCACCAGCAACAUCAGGGUUGCUCCCAAUGAACCCUCCCCGAUAACCAACAGCCACCCCCAACCUUUUGAGGUCUCGGUUAAUAGAAGCGCCCUGAAAUUAUCCGAGACCGACAGAACGGGAGAUGCGGUGCUGAGAAGUAGGACAGAAACGGUGGUCUCCAGGAGCAGCAUUGUGAUCAAGACUUCUGAGCCCCCCGAGAAGAGCAGUGAGCUCCUAUUGGAGACAACCAGCUCGAGGAGCCACGGCUCCUCAGAUUCCAUUUCAUCCGAAACCAAACACGUCACCCUGAGAAGUUCCUGGAGAACAAGGCAAGGCUUACAUUCCCUGGAGGACUCUCAAACCAAAGUGGAGAAGAACGCGGCUUCCAGUCCUCCAAACGCAUGCAGGUCUUCAGUGGACCUCUCCGAGGUGGAAGCGAGCAGCGCACGAACAAACUCCUUGGAGCAAACCUCAGCGAGGAGCGGUGCCACCGCCAAUUCCUGGAACGCCCCCGAGCUGAGCUCCCGAAGGACCAAAAGUAACUUAAGUGCAUCCGAACUGCUGACACGCAGGAACUACGCCAGUGACCCCACUGCAGCUUCCCCCUGGCACCGCGCCGCGCUACCUGUAAGUGUCUCCGUUUCGCACUCGUUGCCUUUCAGCAGGUGGUGGAGCUGCCUCUUGGCUGGAAGUUUCUCCUGCUUUAUUUCCUGAAGCGCUGCCUCCUUCCAGCUCCUGUCGGCUCCUGCAGAGUAUCUGAUGGUGUGGAAAAAUCUGAGGUUUCUUGAAAUUAGAUCCACCUGCCCUGGUCUUUUAAUACCGUAUGAAUAGUUGCGUACCAUCACCUAUUUGGUCUUGCCAAGGCCAGGGGAGAUAGGUCCAGCUGGUGUAGGAUCUGCUGUGCUUUUCAGCGUGGCUUUGCGUGGCACAGUCAGCCUGGAGUGGCACUGCAAGUGAGGAAAUGAGACAUGAGUAGGGGUGUCCCUUGGUAGCUCCAUUUGGGAAGGGCUGCUCAUGCAAAACCAGAGCCAGAACCGAGCUCUGGUCUGGAAGUGCCACCUGGACAUUUUGUGAGCAGAUCCGGGCUGGCUGGUUGCACAGGGUUGCUCCCUGCUUGGUCUGUAUCGAUACUGAAAAGCGAGAGCCAUGGGAGCAGAUUUCUUCUUUUCCUGUUCCUUCGGGUGUCAGUGAUGAGAGGGAUUCCUCAGAGCAGCGCUGACUCUCCCAGUCGAUCUGUCUGGUGAGAUGCACUUACUGCCAGAGUUGCAGACUCCGGCAUAUUUUAAACAUACUCACAUUGCCCUUCCAGUCCAUUAAAUCCCACUGCACCUCCUGCCUCUGCUCUUUCCUUGAAGCUGAUCUAAGCAGCUGCUGCUGCUCCCGGUUACAAGGAGGAGCCAGCUGAUAGGGCUGGUGACAGGGGACAAAUUCACAACCAGGUGACUGCAGCACUGAGGAAGAUGAGGCGGUGGCAGUGUGUGAAAUCGUUCCACUUCUUUGGCAUUGACAAGCACAGAAGCAUGUGUACUAUUUGCUUUGCAGAGAGUCUGUUGCCUGGCAUUGAGGUGUGCAGGUUGGCCUCCCAGAUACCUUCGGCCACUAAGAAUACAUCAGGGAGCAAAGAUGUGGUGGCUGGCAUUCAUCAGCCUCAGUGACCAACCCAAAUUGGCUGUACUGAAGGGGGCACUGGGGAAUGGCAUCACCCCUGUGCUUGAGGCAGCUGAUGGAGACGGGUGUGUGCAGCCCCAUUUCUGUCCCACCUGGAGGAGGGAGAUUCCAAAUGAUGAUCUUCUCCUUGGCCGUAAUUCCUCAUGUGCCACAGGCACACUGCACUUCUUUUCCAUGAAUCCAGGCAGGGCUGAGUCUCCUUUAGCAUAAUGACAGCUCAUGUACUUGGGAACGCAGAGAGCCAGCCCUAGACCUCCCGUUAGCCAGAAGCAAACCACAAACUUGCCUUGCAGGUGUAGAGGUCCUCCCUUGCAGCGAUCCUGCUGCUUGGGCUCACUAAAUCUCAGCCUUCAUUUUUUUUUUAUUGCUGAUGUAAGUAAGCGAACAAGGAAGCUGUGUAAGGCAGCAGCAGCUCUGAGCAACGCUGCAGGACAGAAGCUGCAACUCUUUGGGUCUCUGCUUGGGGCAAGUGCUGCAGGAUCGGUGCUGGGGCGCGGAGGUGCAGCUGGAGGAGCAGCUCCCUCUGGUGCCUGCAGCCAGGGCUCCGGGAGAGAGCUGGGGAGAUGCAGCACCUCCUGCUGUUACUGUCAGGCCCCGUAUUUCAGAGAAUGAAGUCAGAGUAUUUCGCCGGCCUGAUCUUUGCUGAAAAUCUGCAGUGACUGCGUUAGUGCGAACACUAAGAGCAGGCACAGACCAGACAAGCAAGCAGCAGUGCGGGGUGAGUGGUUUUGUUUUCUCUUGUGGCUGCCUUGGAGCGAUGUGCCACAGAACUGAGGUUAGAAGUCCAGCGAGAGGGCUCUUCUUCACAUGUGCCUUCUGAUGAGGGUGAGGGUCUCAUGGAAGAGCCUCCCUGAAAGUACCCAGGGUUGUGCUCUCUGCUCUGCUCAAGCAGUGCACCAGCUUUAUCCCUGAUGAAUCCAUAUAGGAUUCUGACUUCAGCAGUCAGCUGUGCCCCAUUACUGCUUUGUUGUGUUGUUGGAACUCGGUAACACAAGGAAAUCAGUGUGCUGAGUGCCAGCCUGGGUCUUGGGUCCUAGAAAUCAGCAUGCUGAGUGUCAGCCUGGGUUUUGGGUCCUAGAAAUCAGCAUGCUGAGUGCCAGCCCUGGGCUGCAGGGCGCUGCCAGCCCCACCUGCACAGAGCACUGCCCAGCUCUCAGCGGGGCGAGCUGAUCUGUCAGUGAUGUGACAGCCCCUUGUGCUGAGCUUUACCCCAACCCACGGUGGGCAGCUGGGAGAGGCAUCCAUCUGCCUGCCCGUCACCAUGAGCUCCUCACCUGUGAAAGCCUUUGGGGGCAGCGUGUCCAGCUGAACAGCCCCAUGGGACUGAUGCUGUUGGCUGCUCCAGGGGAUGGAGCUCCUCUGUGCUGACCCCUCCAAAGGCAGCUGCUGUGUCAGACAGGAGGUGCCCACCCGCUGGGAAGCCAUCCAGGCUCAGCAAGGUGACACGGUUACAGUAAAGGAUGUGUCCCUUCCUUGCUGUUCCGUGCACACAGGAGCAGGGGCUGAGCUUUGUCCUCCAUCCUGUUUGUCCCGUGAGUGCAGCUGCAUUUCCCUGAGUGAAAGGUGAGUUCGGCGUUACAAGGAGCUGUGCAGUGUCUGAUGCUGACGUGAAAUGCCUUACAACGUGCUGGAACUUGCGUGUGACAGAGCCACCAGACGAGGUUUCCCAGCCCAUGACGGCGAUAACAGAGGCGCUGACAUCUGCUGUUCCCAGGGAGCUCACGGGGACUCCGCAUUCUGCAGCGCGCAGUGAAAGGCCCAGCUGCCCCAAAUCGCCCCCAGGCAGAAACUGUGGGCAGCUGGCUCCCACAGGGGUCUUGGCAGGCAGUCAAGAAAACAUUAGCGAGUUGAAAACAUGUAAGAUGGGUAUUUAUAUAUGCUUUGUAUACCAGGAAGAGAGCGCAGGACGCUCCCACAUUACAUCCUCGUUGCCAAGAAAAUAGAGGUUCAGGUUACCAGCCACCCCUCACCCGUGAGCUCAGACUCACAGUUAAUGUUUGUAAGAGAUUGCUUCAGUCACUAAACCAGGAGUUCCUGCUGCCCAUGUCCCUCCUGGGUCUCGUGGGCCUCCAGUGCUAUGGGCCCAGAGGCUGAACACAGCCUUGCACGUGCUCCCGGCCAAACAGAGGGUUUGGCACCCAGAACUUCAGGCUAUAAAUUAUGGGAUGGAUUUAACAAGCCUCUGCGAGGAUGAAAGCAAAGAUUUUGUCUCCAGUUCCAGAAGGAAACAGUACGGCUCUUCUGAGUACCUCUCGCAGGCUGACACGGCGGCGAGAAGGGCGGUCCCCACCCUGGAGCUGCAGGACCCCGUGCCCGGGCCCCCCACCC